rnacentral:rRNA from 1 species
AAGGUGACUGCCGGUGACAAGACCGGAGGAAGGUGGGGAUGUCGUCAAAUCAUCAUGCCCCUUAUGACGUGGGCUACACACGUGCUACAAUGGAUGGUACAAAGGGCUGCAAGACCGCGAGGUCAAGCCAAUCCCAUAAAACCAUUCUCAGUUCGGAUUGUAGGCUGCAACUCGCCUACAUGAAGCUGGAAUCGCUAGUAAUCGCGGAUCAGCAUGCCGCGGUGAAUACGUUCCCGGGCCUUGUACACACCGCCCGUCACACCACGAGAGUUUGUAACACCCGAAGUCGGUGGAGUAACCGUAAGGAGCUAGCCGCCCUAAAGGUUG